rnacentral:lncRNA from 1 species
CACGGGAGAACCCUCGAGGGACGCGUGCGCGGCAGAAGGGCGCUCCGAGGAACCGCGGCUGCCGAGGCCUCGGGCUUAGACUGGCGGAUGGAGAGGCCCGACAAGUUCAUUGAUGGGAAAUAUAGACAGCAAAACACCAAUUGUUAUGCCGAAGGAGAUGUUUAACCCCUUGGAAUUUGCCCUGAAAUACACAUUUUUGCAGUUUCUGUCUAGGUACUUGUUAAUAUUUGUUGAGUGAAUGAGGUUGUUGGCCAUGCCUGGAACAUGGAGUACAUAUGAAGGAAUGGCAGGACAUCUGGAGAAGAAGGUGAAGGAUAGAUACAGAUCGUGAAAGAACUCAUAUGGUAAGUUUGGACUCUAUUCUAAGGUAAUGGGGAACUAUCAGAAGAACACGAUUAGUUUUGUAUUUUAGGAAGAUAACAUGUACUUUAGGAAGAUAACGAGGCAGGGUAAGUAACAUUAGGAGGCCAUACAGACUUGUCCCCUUGUGUGAAGCCCAGUGGGCCCCUUUGGCAGCAGGCUUCUCUUGCUAGCACCCUCAUGUGUCAGCACCUAACUCUUUUGCAAGGUAAGCAGUUCUACAGGAUACCAGCCAACCGCCACGUGGUUACAAGUUUCUGAUACCUAGUACAGCCAGGGAAAGAGAACAAAAGUCCCUUAUUCCUAAUGUAACUUCCCCAAUCUCCAACCAAUCAGUACCAAAAGCCUAGGAAGCUAUUAGCUACAAAUUCUUGCCGUGAGAGCGGGGGCCAAGGACGUCUCUGGGUCUUGCAUGUACAGCUAGGCUCAAGGUUUAGCUUACAGUAACCUUUUCCUCACUUUAAUAGUAAAAAAACACCCCUAGUGGAGAUUUUAUAUACUAACAAUACAUGUGAUGUGUGUUGGAGCAUAUAGAGACCUAGCGCAUGCUCCAACUGUGGGUCCACCUGUGCCUACCGGACCUCACCAGUAUUUUAUAAAUAUUCACAUACAGAGCCCAUAAAAGGAAUUCCUCUAAUGACACUAGCUGCUAUCUUCCCUUUGAGCCUCUCAAAGGUACCCACUCUGCCUCUCAGAGAGUACUUUUGCUUUGCAAUAAACUUUUUUUGCUAACUCUUACUUUGGACUCA